AUUGAACGCUGGCGGCAGGCCUAACACAUGCAAGUCGAGCGGAUGAAGGGAGCUUGCUCCUGGAUUCAGCGGCGGACGGGUGAGUAAUGCCUAGGAAUCUGCCUGGUCGUGGGGGAUAACGUCCGGAAACGGGCGCUAAUACCGCAUACGUCCUGAGGGAGAACGUGGGGGAUCUUCGGACCUCACGCUAUCAGAUGAGCCUAGGUCGGAUUAGCUAGUUGGUGGGGUAAAGGCCUACCAAGGCGACGAUCCGUAACUGGUCUGAGAGGAUGAUCAGUCACACGGGACAUGAGACACGGUCCAGACCCCUACGGGAGGCAGCAGGGGGGAAUGUGGGACAAUGGGCGAAAGCCUGAUCCAGCCAGGCGGCGUGUGUGAAGAAGGUCUGCGGAUUGUAAAGCACUUUAAGUUGGGAGGAAGGGCAGUAAGUUAAUACCUUGCUGUUUGGACGUGACCAACAGAAUAAGCACCGGUGAACUGCGU
rnacentral:rRNA from 1 species